AAGCGUGUCUAGCAAUACGUUUUCACUUUUUAUAUAAGAUACGAUAAACACAUUAAUAUACAAUUCAAACAAAACAUUACAACCUCUACAUAAUUUAAAAAGUAGUUCAAACAACGAUAUGCAGUGUUCUAUUUUGAUGACGAGUUUAAUAUCUUACAAGAGUGGUCAAGUUUAUGUCACUUAAUUUUACAUAUCGUGCUAUUCUAAACGUAUAUCUAUCAGACGUGAACCUUUAAUUACAGUAAAUCCUUUCAAAAAAGCGGUCACCGUCUAAAUAUGCUAAUAAGUGUAUUUCAUUGUACUACAUCAGCAUUGGCGCGAAUAAAGCCGAUGAAGUUCAAAUUAAAACUCGUUCGUUGAAAGGUUAAAGAAAGGUUAAAGUGGAUAAAAGAAGAUUUGUUGUUUUUGUACUUAAACUUAUACAAAUAGGAAUGCAUUUAAAGCAUAGAAAGAUUAGUCAUAUGUUUAAAACAUACAACAAAAAUCGGCUGGCUAGGUAUUUUGUUGAACUUUAAUAAGAAAGUCGAAAAUCAAAACUGUGUUAGUACAUGUGUACGUAUAAUAGCAAAUGGAAACAGUGGAAUACGACGAAGAUGGUAAAGCCGAUGACGAGACUCUUGAUUGGGUGAAUAUUUUUGUUCCCAUAGCAAUCGGUGUCCUGUUCGUGCUCGUGAUUGUUUGGCUGUACAAGACUAAAAAGGAGGUACCAGUUGAGACGCAAGAAAAAAUCGUCGCGAAAAUUCCCGUUUUAAACCGAUGCAUGACUACAGAGUGGAUUGUGGACGAAACGACUGGGAACGAAAAGGCUGGGAACGAACCGUGCGCCACGACAGAAAAUUGUAUUGAGAAAAACAAAGAAAAACAACCAUUUGCGAAAACUAAAAUCGCUCAUAGCGCUGGUUAUGAUACUUUAGUGGAGGAGAAGGUUGAGUUAGAACCUUGAAUAAUUUCGUAUAUAGUUUUGCAGUGUUAAAUAUGUUAAUACCAUCCUGCAUAUUUUUCAUAUUUUUAUACGAUGUGGAUAAAGAUUUCGACGAUAUUGUAUUUUUAUAAGCUAGUAUCUUAUUCAGAUUUGAUUUUUGUAUUCAAUGCAUCAUAUUGUUCAUGCAUUUUAAUCAGAGCUCAGUGUAUUGCAGGACAUUUUAGAUUUGGUGUUUGUUCUUGUUCAGAUCUGAGCGUUUGACAGUAUAAUAUAUUUAUUGUCAAAAACGUGUUCCAAUGAUCAACGACUUUCACCUGUUGUUCCAUGUAUACACGUUUAAAUCUACACGCCUGUUGAAACGUAUAUUUUAUUUCGCUAUGUGUAUGCAUGUAUUGAAGUUGUGCGCGUGUUGUUUUGUAAAUAAAAAUGUUACGAAAUGUU